GGGUCGAUGCCCGAGCGGUUAAUGGGGACGGACUGUAAAUUCGUUGACAAGAAGUCUACGCUGGUUCGAAUCCAGCUCGGCCCA
rnacentral:tRNA from 2 species